rnacentral:rRNA from 1 species
UACAGAGGUCUCAAGCGUUGUUCGGAUUCAUUGGGCGUAAAGGGUGUGUAGGUGGCGCGCUAAGUCGGGUGUGAAAUUUCGGGAGCUUAACUCCGAAACUGCAUUCGAUACUGGCGUGCUUGAGGACUGGAGAGGAGACUGGAAUUCGAUGGUGUAGCAGUGAAAUGCGUAGAGAUCAUGAGGAAGACCAGUGGCGAAGGCGGGUCUCUGGACAGUUCCUGACACUGAGACACGAAGGCCAGGGGAGCAAACGGG